GCGUUUUCAUAGACAAAUUGCAUCAGAGACAGCACAACUUAGGAACUGCUCCAGGGGGAUGAAGUGUCUCUGGGUAGCUCUGAGCAGGAGAGCUGUGGGACCCCAGGAACAGGAGCUAAACAGGAGACCAACAGGGGUUAAAGGCCUGCAUAGAGAUGCAGCAGAGCCUCGGGGUCUGCUGCAGGAGUGUAGUGUGUCAGAGGGGCUGAGCCGCUCACAGAGCAGACUGAAACCUCAGCUGUACUAUCAUUCACUCUUCCUCCUCUCACAGUCAUGUGAACUUCCACCCCCAGUCUGAAUUGCAGAUACUUUUGAUUAUUCAGCUCAGGUGUCCUUGCAGAGUAAUGAGGUCUUUCUCCCCUGUGAUUUCCAGCUGCCAUCACUCUCGGCAACCCAAACAAACCCAACUGAUUGCACUUAUUUAUAGACCUGAAUGCUGAUGCUGGUCUCUCCUGGGACUAGCUCUCAUCUCUCAGGAUGGAGCAGAUUUCAGGUCAGCUCAUUUCUUAGCCUUCUUUCACUUCCUCUUGGCCCUGGUGCUGCUGCCAGCCCUUUUCCUACAGGAUGUUCCACUGCUUUUCCUGUCUCGGGACACUGGCAGUAUGGAAGUUGUUGCAGGGCUCAUCCUCGCUGGAAAGACUUGCAGAACUUGUGGGACUGUAACUGCUGGCAACUAUUUCCCUGGGGAGAUUUUAAGCUGAGGACUGGAAAGAAUGUUCCCAUGCAUUUUGUACAGCACUGCCUGCCAUGGACACAGAGCAUCUGCCGACCAGUGAGCCACCAGAAGUGAAG
rnacentral:lncRNA from 1 species